GACGAACGCUGGCGGCGUGCUUAACACAUGCAAGUCGAACGAAGUGGCGAACGGGUGAGUAACGCGUAAUCAACCUGCUCUUCAGCGGGUGACAACAGUUGGAAACGACUGCUAAUAUCGCAUACUGAAGGUGGGGAUUGCGUCUGAUUAGCUAGUUGGAGGGGUAACGGCCCACCAAGGCGAUGAUCAGUAGCCGGACUGAGAGGAUGAACGGCCACAUUGGGACUGAGACACGGCCCAGACUCCUACGGGAGGCAGCAGUGGGGAAGCUUCCGCAAUGGACGAAAGUCUGGCGGAGCAACGCCGCGUGGGUGAGGACGGGCUUCGGGUUGUAAAGCUCUGUUAAUCGGGACGCGGUACCGGAAUAGAAAGCAACGGCUAACUACGUGCCAGCAGCCGCGGUAAUUC
rnacentral:rRNA from 1 species